UACGAAGGGGGCUAGCGUUGCUCGGAAUCACUGGGCGUAAAGGGUGCGUAGGCGGGUCUUUAAGUCAGGGGUGAAAUCCUGGAGCUCAACUCCAGAACUGCCUUUGAUACUGAGGAUCUUGAGUUCGGGAGAGGUGAGUGGAACUGCGAGUGUAGAGGUGAAAUGCGUAGAUAUCUGGAGGAACACCGGUGGCGAAGGCGGCAUCCUGGACCGGUAUUGACGCUGAGGCGCGAAAGCUAGGGGAGCAAACGGG
rnacentral:rRNA from 1 species